CGGUUUCUUAAGUCUGAUGUGAAAGCCCUGGGCUCAACCCAGGAAGUGCAUUGGAUACUGGGAGACUUGAAUACGGGAGAGGGUAGUGGAAUUCCUAGUGUAGGAGUGAAAUCCGUAGAUAUUAGGAGGAACACCGGUGGCGAAGGCGGCUACCUGGACCGAUAUUGACGCUGAGACGCGAAAGCGUGGGGAGCAAACAGGAUUAGAUACCCUGGUAGUCCACGCCGUAAACGAUGAGAACUAGGUGUUGCGGGUAUUGACCCCUGCAGUGCCAAGCCG
rnacentral:rRNA from 1 species